AGCUGCCGGGGGCGUGGCUUCCGGCGGCCCGCGCCUGCGAGUCGGGGCAGCUGGGUCUAGCGAAGGCGGCGGCUGACAGGCGUUCUUCCCGGGACUGUGGCGGCUGGUGCCCAGGCGAACCAGCGGCCCCCAGCUCGCGGCCCCGCGAGGCUCCAGGGCCGCACCGGGGAAUGGACGAGGGGAAGAUGGACGAGAAUGAAUGGAGGUACCACGGUGAAGGCAACAAGAGCCUAGUGGUGGCCCAUGAGCAGCGCUGUGUGGUGCUUCGUUUCCUGAAGUUUCCUCCAAAUAGGAAGAAGACUUCAGAAGAAAUAUUCCAGCACCUACAGAAUAUAGUGGACUUUGGCAAAAAUGUCAUGAAAGAGUUUUUGGGUGAGAACUAUGUUCAUUGUGGGGAAGUUGUUCAGCUGCCUUUAGAUUUUGUGAAACAGCUUUGUUUAAAGAUACAGUGUGAAAGGCCAGAAUCACGCUGUGACAAGGACCUGGACACUCUCAGUGGCUAUGCUCUGUGCCUUCCCAAUUUAGCCAGGCUUCAGACCUACCAUUUUGCAGAGCACCGGCCGAUCCUGUGUGUAGAGAUCAAGCCAAAAUGUGGGUUUAUCCCUUUCUCCAGUGAAGUUACGCAUGAGAUGAAGCAUAAGGUGUGUCGUUACUGCAUGCACCAGCACCUCAAGGUGGCAACUGGGAAGUGGAAGCAGAUAAGUAAAUACUGUCCCCUUGAUCUCUACUCAGGAAAUAAACAGAGAAUGUACUUUGCUUUGAAAAGCUUGUUACAAGAGGCACAGAACAACUUAAAGAUAUUUAAGAAUGGCGAGCUGAUUUACGGCUGCAAGGACGCCCGUGGCCCCAUGGCUGACUGGAGCGAGCUCGCGCACCAUCUGAAGCCCUUCUUCUUCCCAUCCAAUGGCCUGGCUGGUGGGCCCCACUGCACACGGGCCGUGAUCCGGGAGCUGGUGCGCGUCAUCACGCGAGUGCUGCUGAGUGGCUCAGACAAGGGCCGGGCGGGUGCCCUCAGGUCGGGGCCUGGGCUUCGGGGCCCAGCCGUCUGCGAAGCCAGCCCUUUCAGCAGGAGUCCCCACUGCCAAGGUGGGCCUGGUGGGUGGGCUGGGCUGGGGGCAGCAGAGCGCGUGGCACAGCCUGCAAGGGGCCCGCCUGGCCUCACGGAGCUUCUGCAGGAGGAGCCUGGGUCCUGUCAGGCCACCCAAGGUUGGGCCUCCCUGUCCCUCAGCCCCGGGUGGGGAGCCCUCCUUUUCCACCUCCUGUCUGGGUUUGUAAACCGCAGUGCACAAUGGGGCUGCAGGCUCUUCCCUAGAACCUCACACCAUGUGUCUGCACCUCUGUGGUUUGCUGCGUGUCAUUGCAACCCUUGGGAUAGGUUUUCCUUUUCUUUCCUUAGUUGGGGAGAACUGAGGCUUGAAAUGUCGGGGUCCUACAGCUCAAAGCCCUUUAGGAGGGUGGGUGGCAGUUUGUAGACAGCUGUGAACACAGACACUCGGGGCCUGUGGCUUUGGGCCCUCCUGCUCGAGGCUCCGUUCCUCACAGAGUCACCGGGGGAGGGGGGCCCCUGGGCUUCAAGGUAACUUGUCACUGAUUUGGGUUUGGCCACGAAUGUCCAUGGGCUCCUCGUUCACCACCUUUGUCAUCUGCUGGCAGGUUCCACAGCAUGCCAAGUAUGUGGCUGGUGGAACCAUGGCUGGGCACUUAUUUUCAGAGACUGACUGGGAAGAUGCAGAUUCUUCACGGUUUUUUGUUUUUGUUUUUUGUUUUUUGGCCUCGGCACGUGGAAGUUCUUGGGCCAGGGAUCGAGCCCAUGCCACAGCAGGGAUCCAGGCUGCUGCAGUGACAGAGCUGGAUCCUUAACCUGUGGAGCUGCAAGGGAAUCCUCAGAUCCUUGAGUUUUUGUGCUGAUGAUCCCUGUGCUCGCUGAGAGCCCUCCAGGCUUGGCGGGGGGUGGCCUGCAGGAUAGCAGCCCUGCUCUGGCAUGCAUUUUAGUCGUUGCUGUUCUGCCAUGCAGCUGCCCGGGCACACCAAGUUACCUUUCUUCUGUCCCUCAUGCCAGAUUUCUAUUAGCACAAAAAAAAAAAAAAAUGAUACCUACUCAUUUCAGGCAAUUUUGAUAAAAUGAUGCCCAUAUUAGGGUACUUAACUGCUUUUAAGUGGAUGGAGCAUGUCUGGAGGGACACAGAUGGACACUGGUCGUUGAGGCACCAUUGAUACCUGGGGUCCAAUUGGAGCUACGCCAGCCUACACCACAGCCACAGCAACACAGGAUCCGAGCCAAGUCUGUGACCUACAUCACACGCUGGAUCCUUAACCCACUGAACAAGGCCAGGAAAAAGCACCCCGGAGCGCUCAGGGUUACCGAAGGGCUGUCUUCUGUACAAAACCCUCCAGGUGCAGAUGUUGGACCUGCUGGACAUCGAAGGACUCUACCCUCUGUACCGGCGGGUUGAGCGGUACCUGGAGGAGUUUCCUGAGGAGAGAAAAGCAUUGCAAAUAGAUGGGCCUUACGAUGAAGCAUUUUACCAGCGGCUGCUUGAUCUCUCUACCGAGGAUGAUGGCACAGUGGCCUUUGCACUGACAAAGGUGCAGCAGUACCGGGUCGCCAUGACUGCAAAGGACUGCUCCAUCAUGAUCGCGCUCUCCCCGUGUCUGCAGGAUGCCAGCUCCGAUCAAAGACCCAUUGUCCCUUCAUCGAGAUCCAGGUUUGCCUUCUCUGUGUCUGUGCUGGACCUUGACCUCAAGCCCUACGAGAGCAUCCCUCAUCAGUAUAAACUGGAUGGCAAGAUAGUCAAUUACUAUUCAAAGACUGUACAUGCCAAAGAUGCCACCCUGAUGUCAACCAGGUUCAAGGAAAGCGAAGAUUGCACAUUAGUUCUCCAUAAGGUCUAACUUUUUUUCCUGUAGUGUCUUUGAAACUUGAACAUAGAAUGUGAAGGUUGAAUGAUAGAGCUAUUUCCUCUUGUGCUGGGUGACUUUUGGCUGUGAAUGUUCUUGCUUUUCAACCCCUGUUCGGGCAGGACUGCCUUUGGGAGACACAGAAUGGAAGAGCACUAGGAACAUCUUCCGGGACGAGGAAUGUUGGGCAUGAGCCCAGCAGUGUGCUGUGUUCCAGGAGGCCUCCCAGGGCAGGUCUCCCUUCCCACCCAGUGCUCACGUCUCAUCUCUGAAAAGCCUUAUUCUAAGACCCAAGGUUUGGAUCUCCUACCACCGGAAUCCUAAUAUAGAAAACUUGAAUUGUCACAUACACCUUACAGUUGGGACUUCUAAGAAAACACGGAUACUACUGGAACUUUCCCAGCUGAGUUACCUGGUCACUUUUCUGACACGAACCACAUGGCAGCGCAGGUUUAGUGGUUCCUUGCUGGGGAGAGCAGUGAGUUGUUGGUUUGGACAUUGGUGCUGAGCAGCGGGCUCAGGGUCCUGUGGACGUGCCCCACGCCUGCCCUGCACAGGGUCGGCAGGGAGUGUGGGACUCAGGGCAAGGGUAGACACCACUUGUGUGAGCACUGACUUUCUCUUUUGUGCGGAAUGAUUUUGUCUUUAAGUUUAGGGGAGACAGUGUUCUUUCCCACCUGAAACUGCUGCUGUGGAAGCUGGAAGCAGAGCUGCUGUGCCCAUGGUGGGUGUCGUGGCUGUGCUCCUGCCAGCUCUGUGUUUCUGGCGUUUUGGGUGUUGUGAAACCUCAGCUACUUCUGCCAGAGCCGGCAUCGAGUUUUCCCUCCUCCCCAUACUGGUUCCUCCCUCGAGUUUCACUGAGAGGCGUGGUGUUAAUGGCCUCAAGUCGUGCCAGGCCACUUCCCCAUCAGGGCUGCCCAAGGCCCUGCUUCCAGAUGAGCAACUCCUGGCUGGCACCAAGAGGUUCUUGUUGGGGUCACCAAAAGCAUGCCCAGCUGCUAUGAAAACUGUUGGGAAUCUUAGUUUUUUAUUUUAUGGUAGGUUGUAUAGAUUAUUUAUAUCAUCGUUUUGAGGGACUAAUGAAGGCUUAUUGUGAUAUAAUAUUAUUAGUGAAACUAUGGAAUUGUAUGAAAAUACUACACAAAAAAAUGAGACUAUUUUGCUGAUUGUAAAUUUUUGUGGAGAAUUUUGUGAUAAAUUGAGAAUUACGCUUAUUUGAAUCAAGCCAGCUCUUCUAGAAUUUAUUCUUCAACUCUGUCCUACCAUGUACUUCUUCCUUCUACACUUGGAGGUUGACAAAGAUAUUCAUGUGGCCCAGUCUCUCAUUCAUGUGGUGUGUGGGUGUGCGGGGGCUUUGUAGAGUCCUGCCUCAGGGGUGUGUGUGGAGCUGCGUGCUCAUUGUGGAGGGGCAGCUGCCAGAGCCGCUCUGGCCCGAGGCUCUUCCUUUUUGCUGGCCUGGGGGCAGGAGGGUCUUACCCAGCCCCAGGGUGCCCAAAGGACCUCCAAGUCCCUGCAUGUUGAGUUCUGGAGCCCCGGCUUCACAGAGGUAGGCUGGGCAGCCCCCUGUAGCCUGUCCUGGCUGGACCGGCUGGUCUGAAAACAAGCACCCUCUGCCUGGAGGGAAGAGGUGAGGGAUGAGCACUGGUGCUAGAGGGUCUUGGCCCAAAGCUCUGCUGUCCUCACACUCCGCCUUGCCCCGUCCCUGAGGCUUCACUCGAUGGAAACACUGUUUUCAGCCCUUCUGAUUUCAGCUGGCAACUGAGGUCAGUGUAGCACUCAGACCCUGGGGGACUUUAAUAAAGACACCCUCUUUGCAGAGGGAUGGGGGUGUUAAGGUCCCGUGUGAAGAGACAAUGGCGUAUUUGCUGUUCUGCUGCAUUUUUUAAGCUAAACACUAUUUUUUUUUUUUUUUUUGUGGAAGACCAAGAAGGGUGGCUGUCAGAGGACUUGCUGCUGAGAGUGCUGUGCAUGCCUCCCAAAUGCUGCUUUCCAGAGCUGGGAGGCGAGGAGAGGGGUGUGGCUCCCCUGGGGUGUCUGAGGAAUGUCUAAGAAAUGAGGCUGCACUGGCAAGAAGCCUCUAAGGUGGGUGACAGGAGGGGGGCUGAGCUUCGAGAUGGGGUUCAUCCCAAGGCAGGGGCAGCUUCCCACCUCCCAAGAUGGAUGACCACCUCUGUGCUUCCGCAAAUGCUAGGUUUACUUUUAAAAAUACACUAGAUAUGUCACUUGUUUGGUAUUUUAAAUUUAAAUAACUAUUUAUUUUUCAUGUCCUGACAACUUAUAUAUAAUGUGCCAUAACUGCAUAAACAUGUUCUAAAGGUAAGGUUUCCAAGUGGAAAAGAGCAAAUGUUUAUACUCAAUAAAAUCACACACCUCUAGGUACAGCAUCUUACUCCUGUGUAGUUGUUCACUGUGUGGGAACUUGUUCCUCUGUGCAAAGUGAUUUUAUCAGGCUUUCUAGAGUGGCUUCAAUGCCCAGCACACCCAGCAGGGUUCGGAAGCUGAGAGGAGCAGUUUCUAUGACUCUGUUCUUGUCCAGUUCCAGGGCUGUAAAGAAAAAAACUGCUGAGAAACUUCCCCGAGGCCCUUCCCUUGUUCCCAGCUGGCCACACUGCAUGGGAGGCCAGGACAACCGAAUCAUAACUGUGAACCAAGCACCUACCUGUGUGCCCAAGGCAGAGAUACUGCACUCAGCCCAGGGGGGGCCGUGGGGAGCAGCCCCAUGAAUGUGCUUUUUUGAGUGGCUACUGACAAAAAUAUUUUGAAGACUGAUGUAAAAAAAUAAAAAGCACAUUGAUAAGA